rnacentral:tRNA from 1 species
GGGCGGUUAGCUCAGUUGGUUAGAGCGCCACGUUGACAUCGUGGAGGUCACCGGUUCGAAUCCAGUAUCGCCCACAA